UCCCGUUUAGCUCAGUUGGUAGAGCGCGUCACUAGUAGCGCGACCAAGUAGUCACAUUCUUUCCCGUAACGGAGAAUGUGACUACUUGCUGAUAUGCAGCGCAUGACGAGGUCAGUCGUUCGAGUCGGCUAAUGGGAA